rnacentral:rRNA from 1 species
AUUGAACGCUGGCGGCAUGCCUUACACAUGCAAGUCGAACGGUAACGGGCCUUCGGGUGCCGACGAGUGGCGAACGGGUGAGUAAUGUAUCGGAACGUACCUUUCAGUGGGGGAUAACGUAGCGAAAGUUACGCUAAUACCGCAUAUUCUGUGAGCAGGAAAGCAGGGGAUCGCAAGACCUUGCGCUGAUUGCGCGGCCGAUAUCAGAUUAGCUAGUUGGUGAGGUAAAGGCUCACCAAGGCGACGAUCUGUAGCGGGUCUGAGCGGAUGAUCCGCCACACUGGAGCUGAGACACGGUCCAGACUCCUACGGGAGGCAGCAGUGGGGAAUUUUGGACAAUGGGGGCAACCCUGAUCCAGCCAUGCCGCGUGAGUGAAGAAGGCCUUCGGGUUGUAAAGCUCUUUCGGCCGGGAAGAAAUCGUAUCAGCUAAUACCUGGUGCGGAUGACGGUACCGGCAUAAGAAGCACCGGCUAACUACGUGCCAGCCGCCGCCGUAAUAC